UGGGGAAUUUUGGACAAUGGGCGAAAGCCUGAUCCAGCAAUGCCGCGUGUGUGAAGAAGGCCUUCGGGUUGUAAAGCACUUUUGUCCGGAAAGAAAUCCUUGGCUCUAAUACAGUCGGGGGAUGACGGUACCGGAAGAAUAAGCACCGGCUAACUACGUGCCAGCAGCCGCGGUAAUACGUAGGGUGCAAGCGUUAAUCGGAAUUACUGGGCGUAAAGCGUGCGCAGGCGGUUUGCUAAGACCGACGUGAAAUCCCCGGGCUCAACCUGGGAACUGCAUUGGUGACUGGCAGGCUAGAGUAUGGCAGAGGGGGGUAGAAUUCCACGUGUAGCAGUGAAAUGCGUAGAGAUGUGGAGGAAUACCGAUGGCGAAGGCAGCCCCCUGGGCCAAUACUGACGCUCAUGCACGAAAGCGUGGGGAGCAAACAGGAUUAGAUACCCUGGUAGUCCACGCCCUAAAACGAUGUCAACUAGUUGUUGGGGAUUCAUUUCCUUAGUAACGUAGCUAACGCGUGAAGUUGACCGCCUGGGGAGUACGGUCGCAAGAUUAAAACUCAAAGGAAUUGACGGGGUCAUAGCUGUUUCCU
rnacentral:rRNA from 1 species